rnacentral:rRNA from 1 species
GACGAACGCUGGCGGCGCGCUUAACACAUGCAAGUCGAGCGAUGAAAUUUCGACAGAUCCCUUCGGGGUGAAGAUGAAAUGGAUUAGCGGCGGACGGGUGAGUAACACGUGAGUAACCUGCCUUUGACAUUGGGAUAGCCUCGGGAAACUGGGAUUAAUACCAAAUGACACUAACUGAUCACAUGAUCAAUUAGUCAAAGAAAUUCGGUCAAAGAUGGACUCGCGGCUGAUUAGCUAGUUGGUGAGGUAACGGCCCACCAAGGCGACGAUCAGUAGCCGGCCUGAGAGGGUGAGCGGCCACACUGGAACUGAGACACGGUCCAAACUCCUACGGGAGGCAGCAGUGGGGAAUAUUGCACAAUGGGGGAAACCCUGAUGCAGCGACGCCGCGUGAGCGAAGAAGGCCUUCGGGUCGUAAAGCUCUUUUAUGAGGGAAGAUAAUGACGGUACCUCAAGAAAAAGCCCCGGCUAACUACGUG